rnacentral:rRNA from 1 species
UAGGGAAUCUUCGGCAAUGGACGGAAGUCUGACCGAGCAACGCCGCGUGAGUGAAGAAGGUUUUCGGAUCGUAAAGCUCUGUUGUAAGAGAAGAACAAGUGUGAGAGUGGAAAGUUCACACUGUGACGGUAUCUUACCAGAAAGGGACGGCUAACUACGUGCCAGCAGCCGCGGUAAUACGUAGGUCCCGAGCGUUGUCCGGAUUUAUUGGGCGUAAAGCGAGCGCAGGCGGUUAGAUAAGUCUGAAGUUAAAGGCUGUGGCUUAACCAUAGUACGCUUUGGAAACUGUUUAACUUGAGUGCAAGAGGGGAGAGUGGAAUUCCAUGUGUAGCGGUGAAAUGCGUAGAUAUAUGGAGGAACACCGGUGGCGAAAGCGGCUCUCUGGCUUGUAACUGACGCUGAGGCUCGAAAGCGUGGGGAGCAAACAGGAUUAGAUACCCUGGUAGUCCACGCCGUAAACGAUGAGUGCUAGGUGUUAGACCCUUUCCGGGGUUUAGUGCCGCAGCUAACGCAUUAAGCACUCCGCCUGGGGAGUACGACCGCAAGGUUG